GGGGCUGUGGUGGACAGCCUAUAAAUCCACCUCCGUUCCGCAGCUCUCCUCUGGCCCAGAGACCAACUGGCGUUGGUCUCGAGCCCUGACAAUGCUCCUGCAACGUCUGCACUGUAUGGCAUAGACGACGUUGCAGGAGAGUAGUGUGAAGGACUGCGUGAUGGGGACACCGGCACGAGAGCUGGAGAUGUACUUGAGGUUUGAAAAGGAGGACUGGCCGGUCUGGUUGGAAGAGGGCGAUCACUUCCCCUUUAAUGGUCCGAAGGAAGCGUUUGGAGUAGCCACGUGGUCUAAGGGCCUUAAAGAGGAUCCUGGUGGCCUCCUCCACGUGC